rnacentral:rRNA from 1 species
UGGCGGCGUGCCUAAUACAUGCAAGUCGAGCGGAUUGAUGGGAGCUUGCUCCCUGAUAUCAGCGGCGGACGGGUGAGUAACACGUGGGUAACCUGCCUGUAAGACUGGGAUAACUCCGGGAAACCGGGGCUAAUACCGGAUAACUCAUUUCCUCGCAUGAGGAAAUGUUGAAAGGUGGCUUUUAGCUACCACUUACAGAUGGACCCGCGGCGCAUUAGCUAGUUGGUGAGGUAACGGCUCACCAAGGCGACGAUGCGUAGCCGACCUGAGAGGGUGAUCGGCCACACUGGGACUGAGACACGGCCCAGACUCCUACGGGAGGCAGCAGUAGGGAAUCUUCCGCAAUGGACGAAAGUCUGACGGAGCAACGCCGCGUGAGUGAUGAAGGUUUUCGGAUCGUAAAGCUCUGUUGUUAGGGAAGAACAAGUGCCGUUCGAAUAGGGCGGCACCUUGACGGUACCUAACCAGAAAGCCACGGCUAACUAC